rnacentral:rRNA from 1 species
CCUACGGGUGGCUGCAGUGGGGAAUAUUGCACAAUGGGGGAAACCCUGAUGCAGCGACGCCGCGUGAGCGAUGAAGUAUUUCGGUAUGUAAAGCUCUAUCAGCAGGGAAGAAAAUGACGGUACCUGACUAAGAAGCCCCGGCUAACUACGUGCCAGCAGCCGCGGUAAUACGUAGGGGGCAAGCGUUAUCCGGAUUUACUGGGUGUAAAGGGGGCGUGGACGGCAUGGAGAGCCGGGAGAGAAAGCCCGGGGCUCAACCCCGGGACUGCUUUGGGAACUGUGUGGCUGGAGUGCAGGAGGGGCAGGCGGAAUUCCUGGUGUAGCGGUGAAAUGCGUAGAUAUCAGGAGGAACACCGGUGGCGAAGGCGGCCUACUGGACUGCAACUGACGUUGAGGCCCGAAAGCGUGGGGAGCAAACAGGAUUAGAUACCCUAGUAGUC